GAGGAGGGGAGGGGGGGCGAGCAGCGCGAGCGGCUGGGGUCGGCCCUGGGGAGGGUUGGGAGCUGCGGGGUGGCGCUGAGCUCACCCCCUGCAGACUCCGCCCUCGCGGGGGGCAGCGGCCCCCCGGGGACUCGGGCGGGUCUGCAGAGUAGGGAGUCCCGGGGGGGACGGAUGUGAGCAAAUUCGGAGCCCCGCCGGCCGCUGGGGCCGAGGCACCGGCCAGCCGCUUUCCCGCUCGGGCACCUCCGGACCGCUCCUCCUCCCCGCCUCGGGAGGGGAUAGGUGGACUCCGGCCCCGCGCUCCUCGCCGCGUCCGGUUUAAUGGGCAGGUAAUUUUCUCGGGAACUGACAUGCUCUGACUGUAUUUCCUAGGAAUUCACAUGUUCAAGUAAUAAUUCUCGGUGAUGAUAUUGGAUGAAGCCUUUGCAUUCCGGACUUCACAGGGAUUACAGGCAUCCCCUAUGAUACUGGCCUGCCAGGAUUUUGAAAAGACUUUUCAGCCACAAAAACUGUGAGAAAUAAAUUUCUGUUGUUUAUAAGACUUCCAUGUUGUUUUUAUACAAGCCAUCUGAACAGAUUAAGACAGGAAUACUUUUAGACCUUUAUUUUCUAAUCACUUCUCCAAGGAAUUCCAUGCAGACAAACCAUUUACAUGCUUAUUGCUAUAUGUAUAUAUUCGUAAUAUGCAAAUAGGGGAAGAUUUUCUUUGCCCUUAGAGUCAUUUUCCUAUCCCUGCCAAAGAGAAUGAAUUCUAUGAAUACCAACAAUUCUCAUAUCUCAAGCAACAAACGUUUCCUGUUACAUAUGAAUUAGCUGGGAAUUCCUAAACAUCACCUCAUUCCAGAGUCUAGGCUGAUGGGACACUCAUUUUUCAAAUAAAUGGAAAGACAGAGAUGCUUUGUAAAUUUUCUGGCUGGACACAAAUCGUUUCUAAACCAAAACAAAAUAAUGGUUCACCUGCCUUCCUCUUCUACAAUGAGAGAAAGCUGGUGAUAUUUGUUGCUGUUUUUACUAUCCCACCUAGCCGCCUCCUACAGGGUUCUUUGUUUUUAGAAGUUCUAUAAAUUCACUAUGACAAUAUAGGUUAAUGCUAAAAGAAAUGACUGACCAUCAUGUCUUUCUGUACUGGAUUGAGUAGCACCUUCCAAAUUCAUGUCCACUUAGAAACUCAGAGUGUGUUUGGAAAUGGGGCUUCGGCACAUAUAAUCAAGUUGUGCUCAUGCUGGAUUAGGGUAAGCCCAAAUCGAAUGACUGCUGUUCUUAGAAGAGAGAACUUUGCUUAGAAAAACAGAAACUGUGGAGAAGAUCAUCAUGUAAAGAUGACAGUGGAGAUUAACCACACGUUGCCACAAACCCAAAGCAUGCUGGGGACCACCAGACCCUGGAAAAGACAAGGAAGGAGGCUUCUCUGCAGCUUCCCGGGGGAGCCUGGUCCUGCUGGCUCUGCGUUUGGAAGUCUGGUUUCUAGAGCUGUGAGAAAAUAAAGUGCUUGUUCUAAGGCACUAAAUUUGUGACAGUUUGCUUUCAGCUCUAAAAAAGCAAUAUAGCCAUCCUUUGGAGAAAUUCAAAAUGGCAAGAUAAGUCUUUUACUUAGUGAAAGUCAAGUAGAUAUGUGAUAAAUUAGUAGAAGUCCUUGGAAAUGGUCAUAAGCAUUUUAAUUCUAUGUAAAUUAAAGCUUAUUACAUAUAUAUAUAAAAUAUACAUGCACACAGAUAAGCCCAUGUAUAUCUAAAUACAAAAAAUUAAAUGAAUGAAAAAUUAGCUUUAAAAGUUUAGAUUACAACAUCUAUUUCAA